AGGGCGCAAGGGGGAUGCCUUGGCAUUGGUAGCCGAUGAAGGACGUAGCGAUCUACGAUAAGCCACGGGAAGUCGAAAGCAGGCAAUGAUCCGUGGAUUUCCGAAUGGGGAAACCCGGCAGAGCAAUACUCUGUCAACUCCUUGUGAAUAAAAUAGCAUUGAGUAGGGAACCUCCUGAACUGAAACAUCUAAGUAGGGAGAGGAAAAGAAAUCAACCGAGAUUCCGCUAGUAGUGGCGAGCGAACGCGGAAGAGGCCAAACCAAGAGUAGUAAUACUUUUGGGGUUCGGACUGAGGACGGUAUUGACAAGAGUUAGUAGAAUGAAAUGGGAAGUUCAACCAUAGAGUGUGAGAGUCACGUAUACGAAAACUUAAGUCAGCCAUCAGUAUCCAGAGUACCGCCGGACACGUGAAACCCGGUGGGAAUACGGGGGGACCACCCUCCAAGCCUAAAUACUCACCAAUGACCGAUAGUGUAUAGUACUGUGAAGGAAAGGUGAAAAGAACCCCUGGCGGGGAGUGAAAAAGAACCUGAAACCUUGUGCCUACAAGCACAUAGAGCACGUCAACGUGUGAUAUGGUACCUUUUGUAGAAUGGUCCGGCGAGUGAAUGUCACUAGCGAGGUUAAGAACUUAAGGUUUGCAGCCGAAGCGAAAGCGAGUCUUAAUAGGGCGAGUUUAGUUAGUGGUAUUCGACCCGAAACCGAGUGACCUAGCCAUGAGCAGGCUGAAGUGGAGGUAAAACUCCAUGGAGGGCCGAACCCACUCCCGUUGAAAUGGUAGGGGAUGACUUGUGGCUAGCGGAGAAAUUCCAAUCGAACUCGGAGAUAGCUGGUUCUCUCCGAAAUAGCUUUAGGGCUAGCCUCAAUUAACAUUACCGCAGGUAAAGCACUGAAUGGGCUAGGGGGCGAAAGCUUACUGAACCCUAUCAAACUCAGAAUGGCGGAUAAUGAAUAAUUGGGAGUCACACUACGUGAGAUAAGUUUCGUGGUGGAAAGGGAAACAGCCCAGACCCACAGCUAAGGUCCCAAAGUACAGUUAAGUGGAAAAGGAUGUGAAGUUGCGCAGACAACCAGGAUGUUGGCUCAGAAGCAGCCACUCAUUUAAAGAGUGCGUAAUAGCUCACUGGUCGAGCGUCUUUGCGCGGAGAAUUUAACGGGGCUAAACCUGACACCGAAGCUUAGGCAAUCCAGCAAUGGAUUGGGUAGGGGAGCGUUGUAUACGCGGAGAAACAGUAGCGUGAGCGGCUGUGGAGUGUAUAGAAGUGAGAAUGCCGGAAUGAGUAGCGCGAAUGCAGUGAGAAUCUGCAUGGCCGAAAGCCUCAGGUUUUUGGAGGAAGGUUCGUCCGCUCCAAGUUAGUCGGGAGCUAAGGUGAGGCCGAAAGGCGUAGCCGAUGCACAGACGGUAGAGAUUCCGUCACCACCAAAAGAGUUAAGCACAGGGACACAUUUGAAGUCUCAGAGCCGGGUGUUGGUUCCGGUAGAGAUCGAGGGAAAUUAGUACCGAAGUCUGAGAUGGAAGAUGGCGAGAAAAGCUGUGUGUAUUUCUGAGGUGCCCGUACCGCAAACCGACACAGGUAGGUAGGAAGAAGAUUCUAAGGCCAACGGGAGAAGGGUUGUUAAGGAACUCGGCAAAUUGACCCCGUAACUUCGGGAGAAGGGGUGCUCCAGAGAUGGAGCCGCAGAGAAUCGGCCCAAGCAACUGUUUACCAAAAACACAGGUUUGUGCUAAAUCGAAAGAUGACGUAUACGAGCUGACGCCUGCCCGGUGCUGGAAGGUUAAGAGGAGAUGUGCAAGCAUUGAAUCGAAGCCCCAGUGAACGGCGGCCGUAACUAUAACGGUCCUAAGGUAGCGAAAUUCCUUGUCAGGUAAGUUCUGACCCGCAUGAAAGGCGUAAUGAUUUGGGCACUGUCUCAACAGCCCGCCCGGCGAAAUUGUAGUACCGGUGAAGAUGCCGGUUACCCGCGACAAGACGGAAAGACCCCAUGGAGCUUUACUGUAGCCUAAUAUUGGGUUUCGAUGUUGCAUGCACAGGAUAGAUGGGACACAGGGAAACAAUCGCUUUGGCGGUUGCGGAGUGGCCGUUGGGAUACCAUCCUUGCGAUAUUGGAAUUCUAACCUGCGGCUCUGAAUCGAGUCGGGGGACAUUGUUAGGUGGGCAGUUUGACUGGGGCGGUCGCCUCCUAAAAAGUAACGGAGGCGUUCAAAGGUUCGCUCAGCUUGAACGGAAAUCAAGCAAAAGAGUGCAAACGCAGAAGCGAGCCUAACUGCGAGACUGACGGGUCGAGCAGUAACGAAAGUUGGAGUUAG
rnacentral:rRNA from 1 species